UUUUUGAUGCAAAGGCCUUUGUCAGUGUCAAUAGCUAGGCUUUGCAGGUGUCCAUUUUCAGUUUUAGAAAAAGGUUAUUCCAGCCUCUGCAAGCUAUAACCAUAGAAUUCUGCAAUAUGGGGAAGCUUGCUCAAGAUCUAAAGAAGAGAUUUUGCCACAUGGUUGAAGCCUUCAUAUCUUGCAAAAAUGAUAAAGGAAAUGAAAAUGGGGAAGAACCCAAGAUUCAAUCUUCGGAGACGGUAAGCAUGGAAGAGAGAACCAUCCGGAUCAAAGCUCCAAGGGGUCCAACGCGCCCGGGCGUGCCUAAAGGUCCCCCCGCUCAAACCAGCUGAAGAUCAUAAAUCCUUUCAGAAUUCUGCUAGUUUGGCAUCCCCUGGUGCUAAAUGUAAAAGAAAAUACUUGGUGCUUGACAUUUUAUCUCUAUAAUGUCUUGUACUAAUUACAACCAUAACAUCCUUGCAAGUUAAUUUUGUUGUAAGCUGCUCAGUAUCAGUUUCCAUGCUACCUGCUUUGGCUUUGCUUUCCCUUGGAUCUCUAUCAAC